UUAAAAUUUUUUUUUUUUGUUUUGCCAAAAAUGUUCUUCAGUGGAUAUGAAAUCUUAAUAUAAUUGUUGUUGUCAUUGUUUGUGUUUAAUUUUUUAUACAAAAUUAUCAAUGCUUGUCAAGUCAUAUUUAUAGCGUGUUGCGAAUGGCAAUUUUUAAUAAGAGGAUCUAUUGUCACAAUGAAAAAACUAGAGUCCUAGACAUAACUGUAAGUCAUGAUGAUGCUAAUUAUUUUUGAUAUAUCUAAAUAAUAAUUAUUAAAUAUUCCAUAACUUUGAUUUAGAUGUCUAUCAUUAAUGAGCUUCAAUCUUAUUUUUGAAAAUGUGAUGGAAUUGGGUAAACAUGAAAUAGUGCUUUAAUUUAAAAACAAGAUAGAACCUGAUAAUAUCACAACUAAAUUCUUAUCUUGACAUAAUGAGAUGCUGUCCUAUAAUUUCAACAUAGAUUAUUAAGACAUGCUUUUUUCAAAAAGGACAACUAUUAUUAAGCAGGCUGGUACUUAUUCAUUUUAAAUCCAUCUGUAUGGAAAUGAAAACUUUAGGAACUUGACAGAUCAUCCAAAACUCUGUGUAGGCAUUUUCCUUAGGGGAUAUAGGUUGGUAUUCCUUCAGGUUCUUUCUCCUACCUGUUUCAGCUUUUAAACGCAUCCUGAAAGCAGCUGUAGUUCCUGACAUGCUACACAGGGAAGCAGCAAAGAGCCAGCAGUCUAGAUGAGACGACAAGCAUUGGGUCAGACUUGUUUGUCCUGGUCCUCCUCAGUCUCCUUUCUAAUUAGGCCUGAUUUGAUUAAGUGAUUUAGUUUAUUGGGGUCCAGAACAUGCAGAAAUAAGAUAAGAUAGCGUAACGUGAGAAAUUGGGGUAGAAAUGGCUCAAUUGAUUUAAAGACAACUUCCAUAUGAUUCAUUGUAGGCUUUAUGAUCCAACCCUCAUUCAGAACAUCCUUCCUGCAUGUGCAUAUGUGAAGACGCAGGUUCACCGCAGCUCUGCCCAGGCGGACAUCUGCUGCCGGUCAAAGGGACAGAGACUGAAGGAAUGCAGUGUGUUGAAUUUCACAAAUAACAGAGUGUCUUAUUUGGAUGCGGCCAUUGUGUGUGUGUAUUCAGAAGGGGCCAAACGAAGCGAUGAAGUUUGCCAUUGUCGCCCAGUGUGGGUGUUUUCAGACUCUCUGGCAUGAUGUGUGAGUUAGUGUUCUGUGUUACUGCCCAGUGUGCCCACUGUCUUUCCCACAAUGCGCCAUUCAGCUGUGGGCCUCUCUCUCUGCUCUCGGAUGGAGCUAGAACACAUUUUGUGCUUCUGGCUAAUCAUCAUCACUGGGAUACAAACCACAUUUCUACUUGUUGGAUGAAAUAGCUGUGAUGUCAUCUUUGUUAUCUUUUUCAGGAACUUUUCAUCCUCUCCCUCCUUGCUUCCUACUUUUUCUCUCUCUCUCUCUCCAGCUAUCCCUCUCUCUCUUUCAUUCUGUCUCUUUGAGCUCCCAAACACAAAAGACAGAGAGGCCACGACAGGACCCCAGUGUAAGCUGGUUGACAAGGAGACAGUGUUGGGUCUUUAAACUGCCUCCGAGGGGUGUGUGGAGUUAGGGGGAGUUGGCCUUAUUUACAUGGGAAGAGGACAAGGGAGAGAAAGGGGAGAAAGACGGGUUUGAAAUACAACUUUUGAGCAGCUUACAGGACUAAAAUCACUCCUCCUCCGCUCAGUCAUCAAAUAUUUACCAGGCAGAAGAAAUCUGGAGCUUUUCAUUAAGUGAAUUCAUACAGUGCUGUGAAAAUAUUGAUGUCCCUUUACAGAUUUCUUAUUUUUCUGUCUUGUUUGGUCAAAACCUAAAUAUAUCAGAUCAUCUAUUAACUUUCUAUACCAUACAAAGAUAGCCAGAGUCAAAAUAAAACUCGGUUUUAAGUUGGGAUUAAUCACAUUUUGUUGGCAGGUUCAGUGCAGUUUCGCUCGUCACAUCCAAGCCAAUUAACUGCUUCAUUAAUGACUGGAGAAAUCACUUAAAUUACUGACAUAAACCUACUGCUAAGGAAAUUAGUCCAGAAGCACAACAACGACUCAUCCAUGAGGUCAUAGAAGAACCCAGGACAACAUCUGAAGCACCGCAAGCCUCCUUUACCUCAGUUAAGGUCAGAGUUUAUGAUUAAAAAAGCAGAAGCAGACUGGGCAUAAAAUGGCACCCACAGGAGAGCUUAAAGGUUAAAACCACUGCUAACCAUAAAAGAACACAGAGUUCUGGGCCACAUUUGCCAAAAACAUCCUCCCCAAAGCUCAUGAAAAUGUUGUGUGGACUUAAGAGACAGUUAAGUUGAAGCUGUUUCAUUAUUAUCACAGUCAAACACGGUGGUGGUCUGAAAUGACUGUGUUUUGUAAUUGAUGCAACCAUUGAAUUCGGCUCUUUAUCAGAAAACCUUUUGGGAGAAUGUCCAGACAUCAGUUGGUGAUCUUGACCUCAACAAAACACUAAGUGAAGAUUUUGAAGUGGCCUAGUCCAAGGCUGGGCCUACAUCCAAUUGAGAUGCUAUGAUAUGACACUAAACAGACCUAUCAUCCAAGAAAACCUCAAAUCAACUCUGCAAAAAAGGAUGUGGCUAAAUUCCUUAAAAUGUAAAAGGCUUAUUGCCAGUAAUCCCACUUAAUAAGUAGAACAACUAGCUUUUCCUUUUAGGGGCAAUCUUUAAUAAAUAGGAUAGUUAAGGAUGACUUUGUUUUGCCAUUUGUUCUUGUAUUAUUUAUUUUUGUUUGAUUGAAUGGGUUUUGAGAUAUUUUAGCCUACUUCAUGUGGUCAGCAACAAGUGUGCUGGUGAAGAGGCCAAGGUGUGGCUUUAGUGAAAUUGAAUUGAACUUUCUAAAGAAAAUGUAAAUGACAGGCAAAUGAUUUAAAAAUCACAGAGAUUUUUUUUUCCCACUUAGGGCUCAGUUGAAUAACUUUUUCCCCUUAAAUAAACAACAUUAACAAAAUACUUUUGGUAUGUACUCAGGCCAUUUUUGUCUGACAUCAAAACUAGAUUUGGUACAUUUAAGUUUGACAAACAAAAUAGCCAAACUGGAAGAAAUCUGUGAAAGGCACAUGUUGAACCAACCUGUCUUCCCCUUUCUCUCUCUUCUAUUAUUUGCUUCACGCAGACACUGACACACACAUGCGCACAGUCACACUUCAAUUGUGAGCUGUGGGAGCUGUGGGAACGCUGGGCCCCCGGUGCUGACCGUGCUGAGAGCUGACUGCAGAAUACAUUACCAGCUGCUUUUAAGAGGGUCUCAUUCCAAGAGAACGGGGGGAUGAAAAACAGCACAAAACUGGAGAGAAAACAGGAAAAGCAAAGACGAGAGCACACACACACACAUACCCACCCCAACACUCAUGCAGACCCCUCCCAUUUUAAUCCACACAUACACCAACACACACAGUCACACUUUAAUACCCCCACCCCUCUUCUCGUCUCUCGCUAUCUCCACUCGUGCUUCUUCCUGUCCAGAGGAUUGUCAGCAGUGGUCACAUUAAGUCCUUUCACUGUCCGUGAUCAGGGGGUUGGGGUUGUAGCCACAGAGCAGGAUCAACUCCAAACAUGAAGUUCAAUAUCAGACCUCCCCCCUUUUUCUCCCCUCUCCCACUCCCCAACUUUACAAUGAAAGCAGGAAGGGCAGGGAGAGGACGAAUGAGCCACCCACUGCUGCAUUCACCACUGAGCACCCCCACGUGAUUCUACUUUUUUUCUCCUUUUUUCUGCGUGUGAAACUUUUACAUGAGACUUUAAAGGGAAUUUUUGCUCUCAAACUCCAAAAGCAUGAGGAUUGAACUGUACAAAAAAAGGGAUUUAAAGAUGAGCUCAAGCAAAUAUGUUCGAGGGCGAGCUUGCACAAUCAAUUUUCCUUCAAUUCCCCGGUCAGCUCGGCCUUCAAACCUGCAGCUCCCCUCCCCUUCUUUUUUCUGUUAAACAUGUGCAUGCCUGUGAGAAACCAUGGUGAGCCGGGUGUUUUCUUCUCUCUUAUUACCCACUUGGAUGUGUGUGUGUGUGUGUGAUGUCCACUUGAAUUGCACAGGAAGAAGAAAAAAAAAAACAGAAAAGGAGAAGUGGGAAAAAACACAGUUUGGCCUUUUCCCUGCAUCUUGGCUAAAGAGUCCACUUGGUGUUUUUUUGUUUCAGUCCUCUGUGAAUCUAAAGAGUAUUUGGCGAUUAGUAUGCAGAAAGGAAGCUGUUUUGCAUAAUUAAGUGCUACAGAGAAGAAGCAACAAAGUUUGUUAGUUUUACAUCUAAGAGUUUAAUACUUGAACAAAUAGUUAUUCCUCAGGUAAAAGUUAAAAGAUCAUCAUUCAGCAUGUUUUUUUUUUUUUUUUUUACCAUCUUAGACACACUUUUUAUUCUUUAAAAAGGAGGCAGAGACAGAUACCAUUAAAGUGGUUAAUAAUCACAGAAGUGGUAACAGUUAGUAACCUAAACUUGGCACCAAAGAGUAGAUUAAUGUUGUACUACACUGUUAAUUGUCACACUCGUUGUCGUAUACAAAAAAAAGGCACAAAGGGCAAGCAAUGCUGAUCUCAAAGGCUCAAAAAAGUUAAAACAGAGAACUCCAGUUUAUCAGGAAAUAAGUAUUACUGAUGGCACAUGAAGGAUAGUUUGACCUUAAACUGAUUCUUUUUCCAUAAUGAGGCAUAAUUUCUCUUAUCUGAAAAUGUCAUUUAAUGUUUUGUUUUUUUUUCUGGCGUACAAAAUAGAAUAUAAAAAUACAAUAUCAACUUGGUACAGAAGAUAUGACUGCAUGGUUUUCUUUCAUUUGAAGGCAUCACUUGGUUUGAAUGUGUGAAAGUUAAAACUGUGCGUUUGGACAAAAAGCAGAUACACAUGCAAAACAAGAAGAAAAAAAAACAAACACAAAAACAAAGAGAAAUUUAACACUGUUCUUGUUUUAAAGAUGCUUUUUAGUUGCUGCAUCAUUACUUUAACUCAUACUUAUGACUGCAAACAAAAGUAUUGGCAUCCCUACUGAAAAACACAUGUAAUAUAUAUAUAUAUAUAUAUUUAAAUCAUUUUUAUUGCAGCAGCAUAAUCUCUUAAUGUAAAUUGCAGAAAGCGCCACUCUUUAUCUUCAGCAUAUUUAGUCAGUGGGAAAAAGUCUAACGUUAACAUAAAAAUGUUUUCCCCCAUUUCUUUUGCAGAUAUAGUUUAGUUUCUAAAUUGAAACUUUUAAUCCAUGACCCCAUUUAAUGUGCUAAUAGAGUUCAAAUCUGACAUGACCCAGACUUAUUUCUCUUCAGAAUGGGAGAGAAAAGAGAACAUGCCGUUCAAAUGAAUCAGAUGAGCCAUUUUGAGGUUUACCAAGUCUCCAUUAAAAAAAAAAGAAAA